rnacentral:lncRNA from 1 species
GUGGUGGGGGGUGGGGUGUCGGGGGGUGGUCCUCCUUUCGAAAUGCAAUCAUCAAGAAAGAGCCCCCAUCUUUCUGGCUCUGUGUGGGGAUAGGAGCCUAACUUAGAUAAGCAAAAAUUAGCAAACACAGAUGGCCUAAUUGCAUUGACCAAUUCCCCACAAAUGCCUCCUGUACUUUUUCCACUCUCUCACCUCAGCAUUUAAAAGCUCUUCCAACUUUGGUUUCUGCAGAAUUGAGUUCAAUCUCUUUCCCUUAUUGCCAUAACCUUGGCCCCAAACGCAAUAGGUGUGGAAUAAAUCUUCCUUACCUGUUUAACUUGUCCACUGCAACUUUUCUUUGACAUACGGUUUGCCUAGAAUCACACUAAAAGAUGGCCACAUAAAUCUAUAGCCAAAAGAGUUUCAGUAUAAGGUGAAAUUGGCCAUAGUAGCACGUGUUCGUGCUAGGUGACUGGAGAUUUUAAAAACCUAGGUAAUCAACGUAGUGUCUCUCUUCGAGUUCUAUGUGCACAAGGUGAGUCUUUGAGGGAUGUUCCACUGGGCCAAAGUCUAGGCCAAAAGAUCUUUUAAAAGGUGUAAAAAUGAGAACUAUUGAGGGCAGAAUGAUUAGCUGUGUGAACUGAAAGUAAAUAUAGAAUACUGGGAUGGGACUGAAGGAUGGAGAUAAUUAUUCUUCUGCACGUUCAAGGAGUUAAGUUGCUGUGAUUUUUUUUCCAGAGGUAAGAUGGAAAAUUAAGUCAUAUAUGCAACAAAUCUCUUUUUAUGAUGGUAAGUUUCUUUGAACUUUUUUAUGCCUUCCAACUAGUGAAGAUAAUUGGAUAGGUUAUCCAAUGAUUCUUAUAUGACAACUUUGCUUGCAAAAACAAAGUGGGUCAAAAAUGCAAAUAUAGCCUUCUGCUUUAAUGCAAAUAUGGGAAAUAAGCAAUUAUCUGACAAAUGGCAGCUGUUUAAACUGCAGGAUACUAAACUGGUAUCUUAGCAGGGGUGUCAUUAUCUAUAGGCCAUUUAAAGUUUGUUUCUUUAUUAUUUCAUUUUUAUUGGCUUUGGUUUUAAAAAGGGAAAGAUAAACUCCCCAACUGAAGGCUUUAUUACUUUUACUAUAUAAAUGUUGCUCUAUGACCAAAAAGAUAUGCUGUUAUUUGAUUAAAGUUCUCAAAAGAGUAAUCUCAACUUUUUUAUUAUUUCUAUUUAGAGAUAAAGAAAAUACUUGAGUGUGUGUGUGUGUUUGUGUAGCAGCCAAGUUGAAACUUUUAUGUUGACAUUAUUCUUGUUGAAAUUUAUCUUCACAAUUCAUAGAAAUUGGUGAUUGAUGAGAAAUUUUAAUUUUUUUAAGUAAAAUUUGGAUUUGCUUAGCAUCUCAGGACAGAACAUUCUUCAUGGAUAGAAUUCUGUUCUACAUGGAAGUGGGCAGAUAAAUGGGGCAAACUGUGGUGGAAUGGCAAAGGAGGUAAGGUUACUUUCCAUUGCUCCCGUUUACUUUUUUUUUCAUUUACUCCUAAGCACCGUCUCUCUCUUUCAUUUCAGGUAUUCAGUAUCCUGUUAAUUGUAAUCCGAUCUCCCCUGGAGAGAAAAUGAUGGAACCAUCUCGUUGCAGGAAAACAAGCUCAGAACUCCCACUGAUUCUACAUUAUGAGAAUUAACAGGACCAUCCUUUCUGGAGCUGCUCAAGAUCGGCUGAAGGAAGCAAAGCUACAUUUCUUGGCGUUGAUGGGUGAAUGUGAAAAUUGUACAUCUCUGAUGGCUGCUAAAUCUCUUUGCCUUUCUAAAUGACAAGGGUUUUCUGGUUCCUAUGAACAGAAGCAGAAUUUUUUCACAACAGAAAGUGAAGCAACGAAGUUUUGAGGGUUGCUCCUCAUUUAAUGAUGUGGGAUCUUGUUAUGUUACCCAGGCUGGAGAGCAGUGGCUAUUCACAGGUGUGAUCGGCACACUAUGACCUGGAACUCCUGGCCUCAAGUGACCCUCCUGCCUCAGCCUCUCAAGCAGCUGGGACUACAGGCUCCUGACACCAUAUCCAGCUGAACCUGAUUUUAUAUUCCAGUGGCUGACAAACUAUUUAACUCCUCUGAACUACAGAUUCUACCCACCUAAUUUUUGCCAGUUUGUAUGCAAAAGAACAACUUAUCACUUUUUAUUUUCAAGCCACUUCCCUCCAGCCAUGUACAUUAAACCCAUUUCAAAAUAAACUUUGUCAAGAAAGCUUACCUACUUUCUAGACUCUAGAUCAAAGAUGUUUCCCCUCAACUUCCAGGCUUGAAAUCUGUUAUUUUCACUCGUCUUGUUGCUUCAAUUCUUUCCUUCCUCCAAAUGUAAUUUGUUAAUCCUUUCUUCACAAUACUUUUCUCAUUCAUUGCUACAAUGUAGCUCCUACAACUUAUGCAAAAUCCUAUAACCUUCAUGCUUGAACUGUCUUAAUAGCCCC